UACGGAGGGUGCAAGCGUUAUCCGGAUUCACUGGGUUUAAAGGGUGCGUAGGUGGACUUAUAAGUCAGUGGUGAAAUCCCGAAGCUCAACUUCGGAACUGCCAUUGAUACUGUUUGUCUUGAAUAUCCUUGAGGUGGGCGGAAUAUGUCAUGUAGCGGUGAAAUGCUUAGAUAUGACAUAGAACACCAAUUGCGAAGGCAGCUCACUAAAGGAUGAUUGACACUGAGGCACGAAAGCGUGGGGAUCAAACGGG
rnacentral:rRNA from 1 species